UAUAUUUAUAAUACAUAUACAUUUAUAAUACGUAUAUAUUUCCAAGCUUCUCUUAAACUUCAUUAUACAACAGUAUUAUGAAUAAUAAUACUGGAUAUUAUUGUUUUACUUUUGGCCAAUCUUUUAGGUUGAGAAAAAACAGCUUACUUUUGUGUGUAUUUCCUUGACUUACAAAUUAAAGCAAUUUAGCAUUUUUUAUAAUAUUUUCCCAUCACACCUGUCUGUUCAAUCUUUUUUUCACAGCAUCCUUUCACAUGAUGCCAUUAAUUCAAGUACUUUGUUUCACAAGCAAGGCAUUUUUAGGCAGGGUCAUUCACAGGGAUAAGAAAGUGGAUGAAGAAGGUUUCAUGGGACAGUAAGACAAACUCCAAGUGCUAAAAGUGUUCACCAUUAUAUCUCUGGAAAAUUAGCUUGCAGUUUGAGGUUCACGAAAAAUCGGCCAGCCCACAGGAUGAACUUCACCAGGCUCUUGUCUAAAUGCCCAUCAGCGACAUUCUGGAAAAAGACUGUUUAUACUGUUUUAAGACGUUAAGACAUCUGGGUUAAGAGCCAUCGUAUACAGAUACUUGGGAAUAGUUUUUCUGAAAAACCUGAAAGCAUUUACAAUCUUUAUACAAAAGCAAAAACUUAAAACUAUGUACUCUCUUACCAGAGUAACAGAGGAAUAUGUUUUAUGCCUGAUUAGAGCUCUACAAAAUUAAAUACAGAAGAAAGAUAUAGAAAAAUAAGAAGAAUUGUAUCCCGAGCAAUAUGAGAAAACACGGUCAUGUUGGGAUUUAGUCCCAUGAACCCAUUCACAGAUGGGGCUGUCGGACCCUCUCUCAUAGCCAAGAUCAGCAAUGGAGAGUAAAUGAUCAGUUCUAGAACUGUUGAGGACUUCACUUCUCAAAGUGCGGUUUCUGAAACAGCAGCAUGGCUUCAAGAUACACCCUUGGCCUGCUGAUUCAGAAUCUGCAUUUUAACAAGACCCCCAGGGAUUCAUAGGCACCUUAGAGUGUGAGGAGUCCUGAUUUAGGAGACACAAUUUGCAGAGCCUAAUGGUAGGUGAGGUAUGGUAAGGGAGACAUUAGAAAAGGAAAUCCCCAGGUUUCAGCCUUCUGAUAAAUAAAUACAUUGAUUAAUAAUAACUGGUACAUGAGAUGUUAAACAAUGGCCCAAGGCAGUGUGAUGUACAACACAUGAGUGUGCAGUCCCAAUUCCUUGUGAUGCAGAGCACCAGAGAAGAAUAAAUGCUAGUGAGUUGGAUUAGUUUGUUGUUGAUCCAUUCAGAAAUGUUUAAAUAAUGUUCUUGACAUUAUGAAAUGAAACAAUGCCUCUCAAAUGCUUGCAAUGUUGUUUAGCACAUGAUGUGCAGACAACCAACUUUAGCUAGUAUUAUGGCUGUUAUUAUUGUCAUCAUCUUUGUCCUUUGUCAAGUAAUUGGACUAUUAAAGGGAACAGUAUAUAUUAGAGAAGAAUAUUGUGCUGAUGAGGGUGAGGUAUAAUUAUAUAAGGCCACCUUAAUUACUGAAAAAAAAAAAAGGAAGAGAAAAAGUUGUCACUUUAAAAAGCUCAGCAACAGAAUAUCCCGCAUCAGCACUUGGUGGAUAUACUUGCAAUUAAAGCCAUGGUGUGGAAUUCCUGAUUACUCAGCUUUUGCAAACUGAAAGAAUAAUAAAUAGCACAAAAAAGAAAAUGGUUACUUCUUCUAAGAUGUAUAGAAACAAACAUCUAAUUUUCAAGUUGUGCUUGUUUAAUUAGGUAAUUUACUAUAACAUAUAUUUAUCUGACAAGAGUACAGAUAAGAUGAGGCUCUUUUUCCCUUUAUAUCAUGUUAUGAGUAUUAAUUUAUGCUGCACAAAGGACUUCCUGAUUCUCACAUAAUGACGUUGGUGAUUGAAAUGUGCAGGCAAAAGACGUAAAUGUGAUGAUAGAAUAUAAGAAACAAAAAGGAGGGGAGAAAAUAUAUAUUUAAGAAGAAUGAAGUGUAACACUAAGACAUAAAACCACUAUUCUUGUAUAAUUUAGUAGCCAAUUCCAUAUUCUGGGAGCAAAGAAAUAAAAUUAAAUGUUAGGUCAUAUCAAACAGCAAAGAUGGUUUGUACGUGUGACUUACCCUCUCCGGGACUUGUUUUCUCCAUUUCUGAGUAGAAAAGCCAGGGUCAGAGACAAAUUACCUGAGAAACAGUGGAGAAGUUUUUUGUCAUAUUUUGUUUCAGGCAUAUGCUUUGGAGUCAGGGCAACUUUCAUCUGCUUCGCCCACUGAACUAGCACUGUAGACUUGAUCAAAUUAACUUAUUUGCAUACUAAUAAACAAAUGAAUGCUAGAAUGAGUAGAGGAAAUAGUGCUUUGAUUAAUUUCUAGAAAUCUGCCUGUGUCACUCAAGAGCUGCUGGGCGUGGAAAAUAGGGGAAGUAAGUACAGUGUUGAGUUUUCCCAAUGUGUCACUCUUCUGAAGCUCUGUUUUUCACUGUUUGCUUGGGCUUUCAAGUAAAUUUGUUUGAAAAUAAGUUUUCUGUUGGAAAAAAAAAAAUCUUUUGUAAGAAGUCUUCAACCUUCUUAGACAUGAUUGCCAUCUGCCUUUAUUAAGGAGAGGUAGAUGACUGUAGAUUGCUAAAAGAAACUGUGGCUUGUGUUAAUGACUCAUGGACAUAGUUAAUGGAAUAAAAGGGACAGUGAGUAAGUGGAAGAAAACAUCGGAAACUUGGUGCAACAUUCCAAUAUACAUAGUUGGUGGACAUAUUUAAUGGAAAAUGCAGAAGUGUUUAGCGUUAUAACUAUGAUUUAGAAUGUUAGGAAACAAUUUCUCUGAUAAAAUGCUAUACAUCUGUAUAUUUUAAGUAGUUGUAUCACUGAAUCAGCAUUUGUACUUUUCUUCUAGAAUUUGAUGCACCCAACCAAGUCUUCAAGUUGUUAUGCCUCUUUUCAUUUAUUUAUGAGAAACAAGUGUUGGAAAAAGAAAUUGACAAUUUUAAAUUGACAUAGCCCAUUUCCCUGGAAUUUUAUAAAAUUUUACCCAUAUUGCUAAUUGAUAUUUAUCUUUGGCUUAUAUAUAUAUAUUUUUUAUCUUAUCCUAUGAAAUAAAAUCUAUUAUUAUUAAUAUUAUGAAUAAAUAAACAUAGGUCAAAUCUUUAAGAUAAUGCAUUGGUUUGGAAAUAUAAUGCAUGAGGCACCAUUUGAACUUGACGUAUAUUAGCAACUAACACAAAGGCUCAUAAUGAGUAAUAGUGCAGGUGGUGAGAUGACUCAUUUUAUGUUAUAAAUAAGGCACCCCUCUGAAGUAUACCCACUUUGGAAAGAUAUGCAAGAUCAAUUUAGCUAAGAAAGCUCCAAAUUUCUUUCUAGGAUUUUCAUCUAUACAAAAAGUCAGAUAUUCCCAAGAGGGAAAUAGGUAGAACUAUUGUACAAAAAAAAAAAAAAAA